rnacentral:rRNA from 1 species
UGGGGAAUCUUGGACAAUGGGCGAAAGCCUGAUCCAGCCAUGCCGCGUGAGUGACGAAGGUCUUCGGAUUGUAAAGCUCUUUUGGCGGGGACGAUAAUGACGGUACCCGCAGAAUAAGCCCCGGCUAACUUCGUGCCAGCAGCCGCGGUAAUACGAAGGGGGCUAGCGUUGUUCGGAAUUACUGGGCGUAAAGCGCACGUAGGCGGAUUUGUAAGUCAGGGGUGAAAUCCCGGGGCUCAACCUCGGAACUGCCUUUGAUACUGCAAGUCUCGAGUCCGAUAGAGGUGAGUGGAAUUCCUAGUGUAGAGGUGAAAUUCGUAGAUAUUAGGAAGAACACCAGUGGCGAAGGCGGCUCACUGGCUCGAUACUGACACUGAGGUGCGAAAGCGUGGGGAGCAAACAGGAUUAGAUACCCCAGUAGUCCCUGAG